GAUUGGAUUCCUACGGGAGGCAGCAGUAGGGAAUCUUCGGCAAUGGGGGGAACCCUGACCGAGCAACGCCGCGUGAGUGAAGAAGGUUUUCGGAUCGUAAAGCUCUGUUGUAAGAGAAGAACGAGUGUGAGAGUGGAAAGUUCACACUGUGACGGUAUCUUACCAGAAAGGGACGGCUAACUACGUGCCAGCAGCCGCGGUAAUACGUAGGUCCCGAGCGUUAUCCGGAUUUAUUGGGCGUAAAGCGAGCGCAGGCGGUUAGAUAAGUGUGGAGUUAAAGGCUGUGGCUUAACCAUAGUACGCUUUGGAAACUGUUUAACUGGAGUGCAGAAGGGGAGAGUGGAAUUCCAUGUGUUGCGGUGAAAUGCGUAGAUAUAUGGAGGAACACCGGUGGCGAAAGCGGCUCUCUGGUCUGUAACUGACGCUGAGGCUCGAAAGCGUGGGGAGCAAACAGGAUUAGAUACCCCAGUAGUCCUGAGU
rnacentral:rRNA from 1 species